rnacentral:lncRNA from 1 species
UGCUGUGCACGCAGGAGACCUGGCCUGUUCAGAGACAUGGUGUAGAAAAUUUUCUUGUCUCCGGAGCUCAUUCCUCCUGGCUAUCAUCUGCUGCUUCGGUGCAGAGCUCCCUGGUCCAUCAGGUACCACCUGUGCACGGGAUGAUGGUGCCUGCUCUGUUCCACAAUUGCAAGCAGGAGCCUGGCUGGGUGCACCAGCAGGACUUGGGCUGUGCUUCAAGUGAUUCCCACCAGCCAGGAUUUGGGCUCGCUGCUGCCAGAUCUCAAACCUGCUGGGGCUGCGUGGUGGCAAUGUCCAGAGGCAAGUUUCAACCAUGCCUGCGCCCUGGUCCACGCAGGGCUGGUGCCCCAGGAACGUGCUUGCAGCCUGGGCAGACAGCUUCCUCUAUAGCUCACAGCGGUUUCAUUUUCAUUGGGUUUCAGCACUUGGCCUUUUGGGCUGAAUUUCACGCCAAGUUUUCCAAUCCAAGAGGCCCGCAGGCCUUGUGGACAUGCAAAACCACCAAUGUAACAAAAAUUGGUUUAAAAUUGAUUUAGUUUGAAGAAAAAAAAAAUCCAAGCCACCAUGUGGAAACAUUUAGAAGAGUCAGUUACCAAGUUUAGCUAAAUGGAAGUAAAUGCAUUUAAAUAUGUCCAUAUAGAGCACUGGCACUGGAGAAAGUAAAUCUAUUUACCAUGAGUUUUAAUUAAACCAGUUGAGCUCUUGUUUUAAUAACCAGUGGUGAGUAAAAAUUGCCAAAACACUGACAUCCCUGCUUAGACUCCCAGCAAUGCGCACACUCUGUCACCUUUGUAAACUUUCCUGGACACUUAAUUUUUCUUUAAGGCAUUGGUGUUUAGGUACAGAGCCUUGAGACACUUAUUAAAAUGUCUAAAUACUACUGAUUUCUAAGAGGAUCUAAUGCCUUUGAGGAUCUUGGCUUGCAGACCUCAUUCCUAUUAACCUGAGGGGAGGUUUCUACCCUUCUUGGUCAGCUGAAUAAUUUUGACAGAGCUGUGGGAUCCUAAAUGACUGAAGCACAGUAGCAAUUUAUGGUAUUUUUGGGGAAUUGAAGUGACAGAGUAGCCGAAAUCCCAAACUUUUCAGUUCCCUCACAGUGAAGAGGGUUUUGUGCCAUGCUGUCACUGGCAUUGUGGACUCUUGGAAACCAUGUCCAUGUGCACCCGCUUGGGGCUGAGUUGCAUUUAGUGAUGUGAGACCUGUUCAAGUCAAAGUGGCCCAUUGGGUUGAGCGAAGGCCCUGAAUUUGGCUUGUUUCAGUGUAGUCUGGGUGAUUUCCAGCUGAAUAAACAGCACUUGCAGUCCCGCA